UGAUUAAAAAAAUCUGUAUUACAGCAUUGGCCCAUCGUGAAGUCUGAUAUUGAGUUAACAGCUAUCAAUCGUAAAAGGAUUAAAUUUGGUUAUAGGAGGAACUGGAACCUCAAGGAACUCCUUUCUCUGGCUAUUUAUCGAGAGGUGGGAACAUAGAUCGGAUUUUAUUACAAAAGGAAUCCUUCUGGACAUACGAAUUGAACUGUGUGGCCCCUAAAGGUUUAAAUAGCUCAUUGUCCUUGAGCUGCUUCUUGUAAAUCAACUGGUCCUAUAAAUGUCUUAAAUAAUUAUGGA